rnacentral:rRNA from 1 species
GAUUAACGCUGGCGGUAGGCCUAACACAUGCAAGUCGAACGGCAGCACAGGAGAGCUUGCUCUCUGGGUGGCGAGUGGCGGACGGGUGAGGAAUACAUCGGAAUCUACUUUUUCGUGGGGGAUAACGUAGGGAAACUUACGCUAAUACCGCAUACGACCUACGGAUGAAAGCAGGGGAUCUUCGGACCUUGCGCGAUUGAAUGAGCCGAUGUCGGAUUAGCUGGUUGGCGGGGUAAAGUCCCAACAAGGCGACGAUCCGUAGCUGGUCUGAGAGGAUGAUGAGCCACACUGGAACUGAGACACGGUCCAGACUCCUACGGGAGGCAGCAGUGGGGAAUAUUGGACAAUGGGCGCAAGCCUGAUCCAGCCAUACCGCGUGGGUGAAGAAGGCCCUCGGGUUGUAAAGCCCUUUUGUUGGGAAAGAAAUCCAUCUGGUUAAUACCCGGGUGGGAUGACGGUACCCAAAGAAUAAGCACCGGCUAACUUCGUGCCAGCAGCCGCCGUAA